rnacentral:rRNA from 1 species
AACGUAGGUUCCGAGCGUUAUCCGGAUUUACUGGGCGUAAAGCGCGUUCAGGCGGUUUGGCAAGUCGGGCAUGAAAUCUCUCGGCUCAACCGGGAGAGGUUGUCCGAUACUGCUGGACUUGAGGGCAGUAGAGGGUGGUGGAAUUCCGGGUGUAGUGGUGAAAUGCGUAGAUAUCCGGAGGGACACCAGUGGCGAAAGCGGCCACCUGGACUGCACCUGACGCUGACACGCGAAAGCUAGGGGAGCGAACGGG